rnacentral:tRNA from 1 species
CAGAAUGUAGCUUAACUAAAGCCCCUCGCCUACACCGAGCCGUUACCCGUUAACUUCGGGUCAUCCUGA